rnacentral:tRNA from 1 species
GCCUGGGUGGCUUAGUUGGUUAAGCAUCUGACUUCAGCUCAGGUCAUGAUCUCACGGUUCAUGGGUUUGAGUCCCAUGUCAGGCU